rnacentral:rRNA from 1 species
UGGACCUCAGAUCAGGCAAGAUCACCCGCUGAGUUUAAGCAUAUCACUAAGCGGAGGAAAAGAAACUAACGAGGAUUUCCUUAGUAACGGCGAGCGAACC